GAAGUCGGCUGGACAGUCGCUGUUAUCCCGUCUGAUCUCUAUGAGAUGGCGCGAUAAUGGAGGAAAGUCCGGGCUCCACAGGGCAGGGUGCCAGGUAACGCCUGGGAGGCGAAAGCCUACGGAAAGUGCCACAGAGAUCAGACCGCCGAUGGCUGCUUGCAGCACAGGUAAGGGUGAAAAGGUGCGGUAAGAGCGCACCGCGCGGGUGGCAACAUACCGCGGCACGGUAAACCCCACUCGGAGCAAGACCAAAUAGGGACCCAUUGGCGUGGCCCGCGCUGGGUCCGGGUAGGUUGCUAGAGCCGGAUGGCGACAUCCGGUCGAGAUGAAUGACUGUCCCCGACAGAACCCGGCUUACAGGCCGACUUCCGCC
rnacentral:RNase_P_RNA from 2 species